AGUAGCACGCUCAAGACCCGAAGCGGAGUGAUCUAGCCAUGGGCAGGUUGAAGCGGAGGUAAGACUUCGUGGAGGACCGAACCCACCAGGGUUGAAAACCUGGGGGAUGACCUGUGGUUAGGGGUGAAAGGCCAAUCAAACUCCGUGAUAGCUGGUUCUCCCCGAAAUGCAUUUAGGUGCAGCGUCGUGUGUUUCUUGCCGGAGGUAGAGCACUGGAUAGGCGAUGGGCCCUACCGGGUUACUGACCUUAGCCAAACUCCGAAUGCCGGUAAGUGAGAGCGCGGCAGUGAGACUGUGGGGGAUAAGCUCCAUGGUCGAGAGGGAAACAGCCCAGAGCAUCGACUAAGGCCCCUAAGCGUACGCUAAGUGGGAAAGGAUGUGGAGUCGCACAGACAACCAGGAGGUUGGCUUAGAAGCAGCCACCCUUGAAAGAGUGCGUAAUAGCUCACUGGUCUAGUGAUUCCGCGCCGACAAUGUAGCGGGGCUCAAGCGUACCGCCGAAGUCGUGUCAUUGCGAUAUAUACCCCCAACGGGGAUCGUGAUGGGUAGGGGAGCGUCGUGUGCCGGGUGAAGCAGCCGCGUAAGCGAGUUGUGGACGGUUCACGAGUGAGAAUGCAGGCAUGAGUAGCGAUACAAACGUGAGAAACGUUUGCGCCGAUUGACUAAGGGUUCCUGGGUCAAGCUGAUCUGCCCAGGGUAAGUCGGGACCUAAGGCGAGGCCGACAGGCGUAGUCGAUGGAUAACCGGUUGAUAUUCCGGUACCCGCUGUGAAGCGUCAAACAUCGAGCAUCGUGAUGCUAAGGCCGUGAAACCGCCCGCUGCCGGCUUUGCCGUCAGUGGGAGUGGUGGAGCCGCUGAACCAAGCGGUUAGUAGGUGAGUGAUGGGGUGACGCAGGAAGGUAGUCCAUCCCGGGCGGUGGUUGUCCCGGGGUAAGGGUGUAGGACGUCAGGUAGGUAAAUCCGCCUGGCAAUAGUCUGAGACCUGAUGCCGAGCCGAUUGUGGUGAAGUGGAUGAUCCUAUGCUGUCGAGAAAAGCCUCUAGCGAGUUUCAUGGCGGCCCGUACCCUAAACCGACUCAGGUGGUCAGGUAGAGAAUACCGAGGCGUUCGGGUGAACUAUGGUUAAGGAACUCGGCAAAAUGCCCCCGUAACUUCGGGAGAAGGGGGGCCAUUCUUGGUGAUCGGAUUUACUCCGUGAGCUGGGGGUGGCCGCAGAGACCAGCGAGAAGCGACUGUUUACUAAAAACACAGGUCCGUGCGAAGCCGUAAGGCGAUGUAUACGGACUGACGCCUGCCCGGUGCUGGAACGUUAAGGGGACCGGUUAGCUUGGAUUCGUCCAGGCGAAGCUGAGAACUUAAGCGCCAGUAAACGGCGGUGGUAACUAUAACCAUCCUAAGGUAGCGAAAUUCCUUGUCGGGUAAGUUCCGACCUGCACGAAUGGCGUAACGACUUCUCGACUGUCUCAACCAUAGGCCCGGUGAAAUUGCACUACGAGUAAAGAUGCUCGUUUCGCGCAGCAGGACGGAAAGACCCCGGGACCUUUACUACAGUUUGAUAUUGGUGUUCGGUUCGGCUUGUGUAGGAUAGCUGGGAGACUUUGAAGCUCGCACGCCAGUGUGGGUGGAGUCGUCGUUGAAAUACCAGUCUGGUCGUGCUGGAUGUCUAACCUGGGUCCGUGAUCCGGAUCAGGGACAGUGUCUGAUGGGUAGUUUAACUGGGGCGGUUGCCUCCUAAAGGGUAACGGAGGCGCCCAAAGGUUCCCUCAGCCUGGUUGGCAAUCAGGUGUUGAGUGUAAGUGCACAAGGGAGCUUGACUGUGAGACCGACGGGUCGAGCAGGGACGAAAGUCGGGACUAGUGAUCCGGCGGUGGCUUGUGGAAGCGCCGUCGCUCAACGGAUAAAAGGUACCCCGGGGAUAACAGGCUGAUCUUCCCCAAGAGUCCAUAUCGACGGGAUGGUUUGGCACCUCGAUGUCGGCUCGUCGCAUCCUGGGGCUGGAGUCGGUCCCAAGGGUUGGGCUGUUCGCCCAUUAAAGCGGUACGCGAGCUGGGUUUAGAACGUCGUGAGACAGUUCGGUCCCUAUCCGCUGUGCGCGUAGGAGUCUUGAGAAGGGCUGUCCCUAGUACGAGAGGACCGGGACGGACGAACCUCUGGUGUGCCAGUUGUUCUGCCAAGGGCAUGGCUGGUUGGCUACGUUCGGGAGGGAUAACCGCUGAAAGCAUCUAAGCGGGAAGCCUGCUUCGAGAUGAGGACUCCCACCUCCUAGAGAGGGUAAGGCUCCCAGUAGACGACUGGGUUGAUAGGCCAGAUAUGGAAGCCGGGUAACCGGUGGAGUUGACUGGUACUAAUAGGCCGAGGGCUUGUCCUCAGUUG
rnacentral:rRNA from 1 species